UGGGGAAUAUUGGACAAUGGGCGCAAGCCUGAUCCAGCAAUGCCGCGUGGGUGAAGACGGCCUGCGGGUUGUAAAGCCCUUUAAGCGGGGAGGAACGCCGGGGUGCAAAUAGCGCCUUGGACUGACGUUACCCGCAGAAUAAGCACCGGCUAACUCCGUGCCAGCAGCCGCGGUAAUACGGGGGGUGCGAGCGUUAAUCGGAAUGACUGGGCGUAAAGCGUGCGUAGGCGGUGUAAUCAGUCAGCCGUGAAAGCCCCGGGCUUAACCUGGGAAUGGCGGUUGAGACGGUUAGACUCGAGUGGGCUAGAGGACUGUGGAACUCCCGGUGUAGCGGUGAAAUGCGUAGAGAUCGGGAAGAACACCGAUGGCGAAGGCAGCAGUCUGGGGCCACACUGACGCUGAGGCACGACGGCGUGGGGAGCAAACA
rnacentral:rRNA from 1 species